ACCGAUUAUUCUUCGAAACCUUAAAAAGGAUUUAAACUUUUCUUGUCUUUCAAAUCUAAAAUCAUCCCCACUUACAUACAGAAAGUUUUCUACUUCAGAAAUUUCCUUGCCAUCACCAUUGUUACUGCUUCCUCCUGAGAAAUCUCCCAAAGGAAACACCGCUAGAAAUCAAAAACUGGUGACUUUCCCUCUCUUCAAUCCUGUCGAGAAUCGAUUUCUGAAGCGCAAUGUGUAGGUUCUUCGCGCGGCUGGUUGGGUUUUGUCGAUCAUCGUCGCAGUGGAUUUUGUUUAGCCAACGUUCUCUCUUCCAGCGUUUGUCCUGAAACUGUACCACUUCCUUAUGUCGAAACGCAGCCACAACGGAUGCGUUUUGAAACGAUGGAUGAUUACAGUACGUUUAUGUCCAAUAGAAAAUUGAAGCAAAUUUUCCAUAGAAAAUUACAGCUGCAUUUUAAUACAGAUAAAGAACUUCUGCUCCCACUCGAUGUCCAUAAGAUUGCUAUUUCAUCCCCUCCCAAUGAGGAUAAUUGCACCGCUAUGAUUAUCUAUAAUCACCACUCCGAUCUUGCCUUCUGUAGGAUUGGAGACUCCUCUUGGACUGCUUUAGGUAAUCAAUUUGUUAUUCCUUUUCAUGACAUUAUAUAUUCUAGCAAACGCCAAUUGUUCUACGCCAUCACUGUCAUUGGGAACGUUCAAGCAUGGGAUCUCAGGGACCCAUCUUUACCAAUAAGUAAAGUCAUAAAAUAUACUUAUAUGCAUCCUUCAUUAGAGCACCCAGAAGAGAUUUCAAGAGUGGAGUAUGAACGCUGCCGGUACUUGGUUGAAUUGCCAGAAGGGGAUUUUCUUAUAGUGAUUAGAUAUCAAUCUAGUAUUCAAGAAGAUGGGUCCUUGUUUUAUCCUGAGUCUAUGGAUAUCCGCAGUUCCUCUUCUUGUAAGACUAUAUGGUUUGAUCUCAGAAAGUUAGAUGUUGAAAAGCAGACUUUAGAACCCGUGAAUCAUCUAGGUGACGAUGUCCUGUUUCUUGGCGCCAACGAGUCAUUUUGUUUAUCAGCAAGAGACUAUCCAGGAUUAAGGCCAAACUGUAUCUACUUCAGUAAUGAUCCACCUGGUAUGUAUAUGUAUAAAGGGAAGCCUUACAGGGGUUAUGACAUUGGGGUUUAUAGUCUAGAGGAUUUCAGCAUCUCAUCCCUUCAUCCUUUUGAGCUCCACAAGAUUCAGCCUGCUCUUUGGGUCUUUCCCAGACCAUAGUUAGUUAGGAGUCAUCUUUUAACUCUUGACCAUAAUUAUUCAAGGGAAGAAAGGAUAAAUAAAUAAGCAUAUGAUUAGGCAUACGUCUAC